CACUUGAUUACAACAAAAUCUCAACGACGACGUCACAUGUAGAUAAAAUUCAGUCGACAGUUAUGGUUGCACCAAAUCAAUCUGUUCAUUUAAAUGAUGAUCAUUACCCAGUCUCAGAUGAAAAGCAACGAGUUGCAUGGGCGUGGAUAUUUAUAUGUUUUAGUGCUGUGAUUAUCGUGAUUAUAAGCCUAACGUUGCUUAAUGUAUACAGUUGGAAGAUUUUAUUACGAUACAGGCACUCGGUUGUAUGUUGGUUGUUAUAUUAAAUUAGACAGGUGUGUCUUAUAUGUUUAAUGUUUAUGCAUGGCGCCUUAAUAAAUAAAGUUGUGUUUUAGUACAAA